UACAGAGGGUGCAAGCGUUGUUCGGAAUUAUUGGGCGUAAAGAGCUCGUAGGCGGCUUGUUGCGUCGACCGUGAAAACCCGGGGCUCAACUUCGGGCUUGCGGUCGAUACGGGCGGGCUAGAGUUCGGUAGGGGAGACUGGAAUUCCUGGUGUAGCGGUGGAAUGCGCAGAUAUCAGGAGGAACACCGAUGGCGAAGGCAGGUCUCUGGGCCAUUACUGACACUGAGAAGCGAAAGCAUGGGGAGCGAACAGG
rnacentral:rRNA from 1 species